rnacentral:rRNA from 1 species
GACGAACGCUGGCGGCGUGCUUAACACAUGCCAGUCGAACGGAAAGGCCCUGCUUUUGUGGGGUGCUCGAGUGGCGAACGUGUGAGUAACACGUGAGUAACCUUCCCUUGACUUUGGGAUAACUUCAGGAAACUGGGGCUACUACCUGAUAGGAGCUCCUGCUGCAUGGUGGGGGUUGGAAAGUUUCGUCGGUUGGGGAUGUACUCGCGGCUUAUCAGCUUGUUGGUUGGGUAGUGGCUUACCAAGGCUUUGACGGGUAGCCGGCCUGAGUGGGUUAACGGCAACAUUGGGACUGAGGGAAGGCCCAGACUCCUACGGGAGGCAGUAGGGGGGAAUAUUGCACAAUGGGCGGAAGCCUGAUGAAGAAACGCCGCGUGCGGGAUGAAGGCCUUCGGGUUGUAAACCGCUUUAGCCUGUGACGAAGCGUGAGUGACGGUAAUGGGUAAAGAAGCACCGGCUAACUACGUG